UACGUAGGGUGCAAGCGUUAUCCGGAUUCACUGGGUUUAAAGGGUGCGUAGGCGGGUAGGUAAGUCAGUGGUGAAAUCUUCGAGCUUAACUCGGAAACUGCCUUUGAUACUAUCUAUCUUGAAUAUUGUGGAGGUAAGCGGAAUAUGUCAUGUAGCGGUGAAAUGCUUAGAUAUGACAUAGAACACCUAUUGCGAAGGCAGCUUACUACGCAUAUAUUGACGCUGAGGCACGAAAGCGUGGGGAUCAAACAGG
rnacentral:rRNA from 1 species